rnacentral:rRNA from 1 species
CUGACGCUGAGGAGCGAAAGCGUGGGGAGCGAACAGGAUUAGAUACCCUGGUAGUUCACGCCGUAAACGAUGAGUGCUAAGUGUUAGGGGGUUUUCGCCCCUUAGUGCUGCAGCUAACGCAUUAAGCACUCCGCCUGGGGAGUACGGUCGCAAGACUGAAACUCAAAGGAAUUGACGGGGGCCCGCACAAGCGGUGGAGCAUGUGGUUUAAUUUGAAGCAACGCGAAGAACCUUACCAGGUCUUGACAUCCUUUGACAAUCCUAGAGAUAGGACGUCCCCUUCGGGGGCAGAGUGACAGGUGGUGCAUGGUUGUCGUCAGCUCGUGUCGUGAGAUGUUGGGUUAAGUCCCGCAACGAGCGCAACCCUUGAUCUUAGUUGCCAGCAUUCAGUUGGGCACUUUAAGGUGACUGCCGGUGACAAACCGGAGGAAGGUGGGGAUGACGUCAAAUCAUCAUGCCCCUUAUGACCUGGGCUACACACGUGCUACAAUGGGCAGAACAAAGGGCAGCGAAACCGCGAGGUUAAGCCAAUCCCACAAAUCUUUUUUCAGUUUGGAUUGCAGUCUGCAACUUGACUGCCUGAAGCCGGAAUCGCUAGUAAUCGCGGAUCAGCAUGCCGCGGUGA